GUCUCUUAGGAGAUAUCCGAUAAAAUUGGAAUGAAUAUAGAGAAGAUUAGGAUGAACCCAUGCACAAGGAUGACACGCAUAAAUCGAGAAAUGGUCCAAAAUUUC
rnacentral:snRNA from 1 species